GGAGGAGGAGUUGUUGUCUGUCUGUCGUUGUCAUGCGCACCCGGAGCUGAUAUGACGUCAGGGUCCAAAGACGUACAAAAUGACGAAGCUCAUCUUCUCAGUUAUGAGAAAUUUCCCAAAUUCUACAAGCUUUCCUGUGGAAUCAGUCAGCUGAUGAAAUGCACUCUGCAGCUGCCGUAUACCAAUAUGCUUUCUACCACAUGAGUGCUUCACAUUGAAUACAGCUGAAAAUUAUUUUUUUUGGAAGAGUAGAUAAUGUGUGAUAACGAGGCAAUCAAGUUAUUUAUUCUGUAAGUCACCCACUCUCAUACAAUUAUACCAGCAAGGCAUACCACCUUGGAUCAAAGGUAAAGAUUUCCUAUUAAUAAAUCACACAACAAACAAUAUAUUUAUUAUAUAGAGACUCAUUACACCUCCUUUUAAAAAUCCUACCUUGGACCAUCUUCUGAACUGGGCAUACAAGAGGAAACAUCCAUCUCAUUAGGGUACAGA